UCGUUGCCACCCUCCGUCCGGAAAUACUUGUCGGAGAAAUGGAUAUAUUUAGACAUAUUUUAGUUUUAGAUACAUCCAAUUUCAUCUAUUUGUGGGACAAGUAUUUCCGGAGGGAGGGAGUACGUG
rnacentral:pre_miRNA from 1 species